GGGGAUGUAGCUCAGUAAUAAAGCACUUGCCUGGCAUGCAUGAAGCCCUGGGUUCCAUCCCCA
rfam:Ictidomys tridecemlineatus contig068923, whole genome shotgun sequence.